GACGAACGCUGGCGGCGUGCUUAACACAUGCAAGUCGAACGAAGAGCGAUGGCAGCUUGCUUCUGUCCAUCUUAGUGGCGGACGGGUGAGUAACGCGUAAUCAACCUGCCCUUCAGAGGUGGACAACAGUUGGAAACGACUGCUAAUACCACAUACGCUCCCACCUCGGCAUCGAUGGUGGAUGAUCGGUGGCCUCUAUUUAUAAGCUAUCACUGAAGGAGGGGGUUGCGGCUGUUUGGCUAGUUGGCGGGGUAACGGCCCACGAAGGCAAUGAUCAGUAGCCGGUCUGAGAGGAUGAACGGCCACAUUGGGACUGAGACACGGCCCAGACUCAUACAGGAGGCAGCAGUAGGGAAUCGUCCGCAAGGGACGAAAGUCUGACGGAGCAACGCCGCGUGAGUGAGGACGGCCUUCGGGUUGUAAAGCUCUGUUAAUCGGGACGAAAGGUCUUCUUGCGAAUAGGUAGAAGAAUUGACGGUACCGGAUAAGAAAGCCACGGCUAACUACGUG
rnacentral:rRNA from 1 species